GCCUCGGGCCCUGUGUACACAACACUGGCCUGGAGCAAUAACCCUGGGGACCUGCACCCUCUGUGCUAUACUCAAAGUUCGUGUUUGCCAGAAAAAUGGGGGUAAUUUUCUCUUUUGGAGAGUUGGUGUACCUCUUCCUCAUGCUAGGGAUUGCUUUAUAUUUUCACAACUGGGGUCUUUAAGCAAGGCAGAAGUAAAAGCACCUUGACUGGUUUCCCACAGUGAGUCAACACAGCUGCAAGCGGAGCCGGGAGCCCUGCCUGCCACCGUCACCUCUGGGAGACGCUGCAUCGCAGAGACACGUCACGUAGACCUAGAAGCCACAGAAUGAAAACAAUGGUAAGCGUGGGUUUGGAAUACGCCGACCUGUUGAAGCCAUGUUCCUGAGGUCUGGAAGCAAGGACUUGGUGAUGGAAUUCACAGACUCAAGAGGGCUUUGGAACAGGGUGCCUAGGCAGCCCCCAUUUCCAGCUUUGAUUUAUGUUCUGUUCAAACAAAACAUCUUGGUUCUUGAAUGCUUCUUUGGCUUAAUUCACCAGAGUAGCAAUUCUUAAUCCAAAGCAAUCAAGAAGAAUUUGCUCAGUGGUCAAACAGCAUUUUUCUGAGUGCUUGGAAAUCAUGAAGGUCCACUGUUGCACAAUAUUCUCCAGCAAACAAGGCAGAGGUGUCUGCAGGAAAGAGGAAAAACACCUCUGGAACAGAACGUGUCACUUACUCAAUGGUAGUUGAAUGAAAGGAUGUUGGACUUAAACCUAGGGCAUGAAACCAUAAGAAUUCGAGAAGAAAAUG